rnacentral:rRNA from 1 species
AUUGAACGCUGGCGGCGUGCUUAACACAUGCAAGUCGAUCGGUAACGCGGGGGCAACCCUGGCGACGAGAGGCGGACGGGUGAGGAACGCUUGGGAAUCUGCCUAUCAGCGGGGGACAACACGGGGAAACUCGUGCUAAUACCGCAUACGCUCUACGGAGGAAAGCCGGGGACCGCAAGGCCUGGCACUGAUAGAUGAGCCCAAGCCGGAUUAGCUAGUUGGCGGGGUAACGGCCCACUAAGGCGACGAUCCGUAGCUGGUCUGAGAGGACGAUCAGCCAGACUGGGACUGAGACACGGCCCAGACUCCUACGGGAGGCAGCAGUGGGGAAUAUCGGACAAUGGGGGAAACCCUGAUCCAGCGACGCCGCGUGGGUGAAGAAGGCCUGCGGGUUGUAAAGCCCUUUCGGUAGGGACGAAAGCUCUCGACCUAACACGUCGGGAGGUUGACUUAACCUACAAAAGAAGCACCGGCUAACUCUGUGCCAGCAGCCGCCGUAAUAC